UUGCUGACCAAGUGGAACCCUUGGCUCAACAGCAUCAAUAUCAACUAGCAGCUGGUUAGAAAUACUCAGAAUCUACUAAUCAGUGUGCUUUGAUUCACACAGAGACGUCAAAAUCGAGAAGCCCUCCUUGAAGGACCUUGACAGCCCCAAGAGAGUGGAUUUCCUUCCUGGCUGCGAUCCCCCCUCACACUCACUUUUGAGCACAGGAAUCUUUGAACUUCUGGCCUCAGGGAUCUUACGUAACUGCUCAACAGGUUUCACUAUGUAGCUAAUCUUGGUUGUCAACUUGACUACAUCUGGAAUCAACUAAAACCCAAGAUUCUGGACACUCCAAUGAGGGAUUUUCUUAAUCAGAUUAUCUCAAGUAAGAAGACCUACCCGAAAUCUGGGCCACACUUUCUGUUGGCAUCUGAAAGGACUGAAGGAGGGGUACUGUUAGUGCCUGCUUGUCCUCACUCCGACUGGCAGGCUUCUCUAUCCUGUCACUGUGGCUGAUAUUAAAUACAACUUUUUCAAGAUUCCAAUGUGGACUGAAGACCAGCACCUCUCCAGAAUCCUCCAGGACUCCAGCACCAGAUUGGGACUACAGAGCCAGCCAGCCACAUGAACUGGACAGUUACUGGAUUUCCAUUGUGAGAUAUUCACUGUUGGAUUGCCUGGACCACAUCCUGUCACCUCCACAUGAACUAGACCAGAUGCUCUUGGAGUGGGACCCAUUGAUCAGGGUGAUUCUGGUCUGCAGGCAAGGAGUGGGACCCAUUGAUCAGGGUGAUUCUGGUCUGCAGGCAAGGAGUGGGACCCAUUGAUCAGGGUGAUUCUGGUCUGCAGGCAAGGAGUGGGACCCAUUGAUCAGGGUGAUUCUGGUCUGUAGGCAAGGAGUGGGACCCAUUGAUCAGGGUGAUUCUGGUCUGCAGGCAAGGAGUG